rnacentral:lncRNA from 1 species
CAGUUGAAUAUUAUAGCAUGUAUCUCAAUUAUACCUCAGGAAGCUGCUUGGAAGUUGCGAGAUCGACUUUAGUGCUAAUAUGAAAGGCUACUUAAGAAAUUCAUUAGUGCUAUUAGACUUUAGUGCUAAUCUGAAUCAAGAGAAAUUCAUCCUUCAAAUUAUAUCUAAUUAAGAAGUGCUUCUUCUUAUCUUUCGGCUACG